rnacentral:rRNA from 1 species
GACGAACGCUGGCGGCGUGCUUAACACAUGCAAGUCGAGCGGUAAGGCCCUUUCGGGGGUACACGAGCGGCGAACGGGUGAGUAACACGUGGGUGACCUGCCCUCAGCUCUGGGAUAAGCCUGGGAAACCGGGUCUAAUACUGGAUAUGACUCCAUGACGCAUGUUGUGGGGUGGAAAGCCUUGUGCGGCUGAGGAUGGGCCCGCGGCCUAUCAGCUUGUUGGUGGGGNGAUGGCCUACCAAGGCGACGACGGGUAGCCGGCCUGAGAGGGCGACCGGCCACACUGGGACUGAGACACGGCCCAGGACUCCUACGGGAGGGCAGCAGUGGGGAAUCUUGCGC